GACGAACGCUGGCGGCGUGCCUAAUACAUGCAAGUUGAGCGAUGAAGAUUGGUGCUUGCACCAAUUUGAAGAGCAGCGAACGGGUGAGUAACGCGUGGGGAAUCUGCCUUUGAGCGGGGGACAACAUUUGGAAACGAAUGCUAAUACCGCAUAAUAACUUUAAACAUAAGUUUUAAGUUUGAAAGAUGCAAUUGCAUCACUCAAAGAUGAUCCCGCGUUGUAUUAGCUAGUUGGUGAGGUAAAGGCUCACCAAGGCGAUGAUACAUAGCCGACCUGAGAGGGUGAUCGGCCACAUUGGGACUGAGACAAGGCCCAAACGCCUACGGGGGGCAGCAGUAGGGAAUCUUCGGAAAUGGACGAAAGUCUGACCGAGCAACGCCGCGUGAGUGGAGAAGGUUUUCGGAUCGUAAAACUCUGUUGGUAGAGAAGAACGUUGGUGAGAGUGGAAAGCUCAUCAAGUGACGGUAACUACCCAGAAAGGGACGGCUAACUACGUG
rnacentral:rRNA from 1 species